UGCAAGUCGAGCGGAUGAAGGGAGCUUGCUCCUGGAUUCAGCGGCGGACGGGUGAGUAAUGCUUAGGAAUCUGCCUAUUAGUGGGGGACAACAGUUGGAAACGGCUGCUAAUACCGCAUACGCCCUACGGGGGAAAGGAGGGGAUCUUCGGACCUUUCGCUAAUAGAUGAGCCUAAGUCAGAUUAGCUAGUUGGUGGGGUAAAGGCCUACCAAGGCGACGAUCUGUAGCGGGUCUGAGAGGAUGAUCCGCCACACUGGGACUGAGACACGGCCCAGACUCCUACGGGAGGCAGCAGUGGGGAAUAUUGGACAAUGGGGGGAACCCUGAUCCAGCCAUGCCGCGUGUGUGAAGAAGGCCUUUUGGUUGUAAAGCACUUUAAGCGAGGAGGAGGCGCCCUAGAUUAAUACUCUAGGAGCGUGGACGUUACUCGCAGAAUAAGCACCGGCUAACUCUGUGCCAGCAGCCGCGGUAAUACAGAGGGUGCGAGCGUUAAUCGGAUUUACUGGGCGUAAAGCGUACGUAGGCGGCUUUUUAAGUCGGAUGUGAAAUCCCUGAGCUUAACUUAGGAAUUGCAUUCGAUACUGGGAAGCUAGAGUAUGGGAGAGGAUGGUAGAAUUCCAGGUGUAGCGGUGAAAUGCGUAGAGAUCUGGAGGAAUACCGAUGGCGAAGGCAGCCAUCUGGCCUAAUACUGACGCUGAGGUACGAAAGCAUGGGGAGCAAACAGGAUUAGAUACCCUGGUAGUCCAUGCCGUAAACGAUGUCUACUAGCCGUUGGGGCCUUUGAGGCUUUAGUGGCGCA
rnacentral:rRNA from 2 species